rnacentral:rRNA from 1 species
AUUGAACGCUGGCGGCAUGCCUUACACAUGCAAGUCGAACGGCAGCAUGGAGAGCUUGCUUUCUGAUGGCGAGUGGCGAACGGGUGAGUAAUGCAUCGGAACGUACCGUGUAAUGGGGGAUAACGUAGCGAAAGUUACGCUAAUACCGCAUACGACCUGAGGGUGAAAGCAGGGGAUCGCAAGACCUUGCGUUAUACGAGCGGCCGAUGUCAGAUUAGCUAGUUGGUGAGGUAAAGGCUCACCAAGGCGACGAUCUGUAGCGGGUCUGAGAGGAUGAUCCGCCACACUGGGACUGAGACACGGCCCAGACUCCGACGGGAGGCAGCAGUGGGGAAUCUUGGACAAUGGGGGCAACCCUGAUCCAGCCAUGCCGCGUGAGUGAAGAAGGCCUUCGGGUUGUAAAGCUCUUUCGGCCGGGAAGAAAUCGCAGAGCCUAAUACUCUGUGUCGUUGACGGUACCGGCAUAAGAAGCACCGGCUAACUACGUGCCAGCAGCCGCAGUAA